rnacentral:lncRNA from 1 species
AGACAAGGAGGAAGAGAUGACAAGAGGCAAGAACAGGUAUAGUGCUCAUCUGGUGUGGCAGUCAUGUGAGUGGUGCUCUCUACAUGUAUCUGUUUUGUUUUGUUUUCUAUGAUGGGGAUUGAACUUCAGGCUCACACUUGCUCACCAAGCACCCUGCCACUAUGAUACAUUUAUAGUCCCCUUUUGUGGUUUGGCUUCAAAGAUGGACUCUGGCUAAGUUGUUCAGACCAGCCUUGAAUUCACUCUGUGUGCAUUCAUACAGCCUUCAAAUAUGUGUUCUCUUGCCUCAGCCUCUAGGUAGCUGAAAUUAGAGGCUGUGCCCAGGCCCAGCGACAGGUUUAUUUUGCUCUGCUGUGCCUGCCUUGCUUCUCAUGCUGUUAGAUGACGUCAUCGAGCUGAAGGGGAGGAGUAAGUGCUUCUCAUGCUUUCUCUCUUUGGUAGAAUUAACAGGACCUUAAUUCUUUCCUUCUUUGUGAUUUCUCACAUUAGUUCUUAUUGUAGAUUUUAGCAAUCAUAACGCACAAGUGCUUCCUUUUCCUUAAGCUGACAGUGUUCAUCUUUUCACUGCUCCCUUUCCACGUAUCUGAAUUGCUAGCAUACUGUGUGUGCUUUGGGACCAGUAUGAUGUCAGUAAGUCCCUGUGAGGCUACACCCAAUGAUAUGAGAGCUCAUGUGCCUGUCAAGGUGCAUACUCAGCAUGGAAGUGCUGAUUGAUGGCUGAUGACAGGCAGGGGAAGGACAGUGCAUUGCUUACUGUGAUGGGCAUAUUAAAACAUUGCUUAUUUCUGGAAUUUUUCAUGUAUGCUUUUAGACCACAGUUGGUUCUAAGUAACUGAAGCUGUAAAAGUUAAAAUUGUGAUAAGAGGCACCUGAGAUACAGUUUUUAUCAAUUGCUCAAAGUCUAAUUGGCAAAUUGAUAAUAUACAAAUAUACGUGUGUGUGUGUGUGUGUGUGUGUGUGUGUGUGUGUGUGUGUGUGUAUACAUACAUAUGCAUAUAGCAGUCUUUUUAUUUGCAAGUUAGAUAAACAAGAAACACCUCUGGCAGUUAUUGUGCAGAUUACAUAGGACUGAUAGCAGAUGGUUGAAACAAUAUGGUCAUCUAAACAAGACCUACAUAAUGACAACACUGGAUGACAUACCAGCCUGAAUGGGAAAAAUCUUACAUUGCUUCAACCCCAGAUGAAGAGAUUCAGGAAGUUAUGAAUUCUAGAUACAGGAGGACACUAUUAGAAGGCUGACGUCAGUGAGGUAGAAUUCUAAGAUCUCAAAGCGUGCUUUACAUGCCAUCAUUUUUUAGAGUCAAGCCUGGGGUUGCAAAUGUCCUAGUAUCGUUCACAAAACUGUCAGUGGCUCAGAUGUGGCAGGGAUCCCUGGGUGUUUCCUGCUGGCUUCUUCUCUGUCACAGUCUCCCUCCAACAUCAGCAGGAUUCACUCCUAAGAGUCCUGGGUGUUUGCAGGGUAGGCAUUCUUUCCCAUUCUGUAGUGUUGCUCCUGGACUUUACAGGUCUCAGCAGUGGUCAGAAUCAUGCUUCUCCCCAGCUUCAGAAAGGAGGGUGGGUGCUAGUGGUAAAGCUCUCUGUUCCAUUGUGACUUGUAGAGACUCUUUGUUCAGGUACAGAUUAAAAUGCUUUCCUAUACAACCAGGCAAUCAUCUACUUCAGGAUGGGUCUCCUUCCUUAGCCUAGGAAUUAUCUGCCAUAUCUAAAGCCAUGAUUAGAUUACAGAUGUGGACGUCUGUAUGUCCUUUCUCUAAAAGAAGCAGCCCAGCAUUCCCCCCUGUCUAGGCUCAGGCUAGACCACCUGUGCAGUUGGGGGUUUUCUAUUUGUUUUUGUUUUGUUUCACGUAUUUUUGUAUCUGGAAAAGUCAUGACCAAAAUGUCUAGGACUAUUUAUAUUAUAAACACAGGUAGUAGGUAAGUUGGUAGAUUGAAGGAUGGGGAAAACAUCUUUGGUUUCUAGCCACCUGAAAAUCUAUAUGGCCUCUUCAUAGAAUACUGGUGCAAGUUUGAUAUUGGUUUUGUAUUUGCUUCUGUCAAAAUCAGCAUUAGAGUGAGUGCUAUGAUAAGCCAGAGAACACACUAGGAAGUGAACAGAGAAGCAGCUUCAGAUAGGCUUAUAAAAGACAUGUAAUUGUUUCCAUAGGCUUUGUUUAAGGAACCCAGGCAAGGAGAGCUGAGAUUAUCUUAUCUGGAGAGCAUGAUAAAUAACAGAAAUUUGAGCCAAGCCUGGAGGUGCAAGUCUGUGAUCUCGGCUGUUUAUCUGUCUGGGCAGGAAGGUCACAAGUUCAAGACUUGCCUGAGCUACAGAAUAAGUUCAAGGCUGGCCUGAAUAACUUAGUGAGACACUGUCCCAAAAUAAAAGCAAAAAGAGGGUAGGUGAUGUAGCUCAAGAGUAGAGAGCUUAUCUAGGGUACAUGAAGCCCUAGACUCAGUCUCAAUACCAACAAAAUAAUAACAACAAUAAUACCAAAGACAUGAAGAAAGACAAAACUCAAAAAUAGCAGAAGUUCUUAAUUUUUAUUUGUAUGUUCCUUAUUUGUUGAAUUGCCCGAUUUUAAAUGGCUGACAUCAGAGGAGCAGAAGGUCUGCUGCUGGAUAAUGUCUUCUAGACUCGACAGGGAGGCUAUACCUGUGAUAUCUCAACAAUAUAGUCACCCAAAUAAGACCUACACAAUGACAUUACCAGAUGACAUACCAGCAUGAAUAGAAGUCUUACAUGGCUUCAACCCAAGAUGAAGAGUUAUAGGCAAUUAAUAGCUGUUCAGGGAAGGAAAAUCACUCUGCUUCAGGACAAGCCCCUGAAAGUCAUUCAGCCCCAACUGGUCAGUCCUAAACACAUCUGUAGGAGCAACACUAAAUGGACUCAGUAGGGAGGGUGUGUGUGCCUGUGUCUAUCUGUCUGCUUUGUCUGUGUCUGUGUGUCUGAGUCUGCAUUGUGUAACAAUUAUAGAAGAAGAGGCCCUAAAUUUAAAAGAGUUGGGGUGAGCAUGGGAAGUGCUGGAGGUGGGGAGAAGGAACAAUAAAUGCUUGGCCAUAUAUUAAGUCAACAUUUAUUUUUCUUUAUUUUGUGUCUCUUUCUAUAUAUGUAUACAUAUAGAGAGAUACACAGUAUAUUUAUAUUCAACACUUUUUUAAGUACUUGUAAUGCAGAAGUUCCAGGCAGUGCCAUUGUGCAUGCCCUUGAAGGGGAAAGAAGGGAGGACUGACAAGUGUUGAGUGGUAUUCUCCAAGUAUCCUAAUAGCUGAUAGAUACAUCAAAUUCCCAGGAUGUUCUGUAGGACAGGUAGUGAUAUUCCCAUUUCCAGAUGAAGAAAUUAGCUUUCAGGGUGGGGUAGUGUAGUGUCUGAGCACUUCCCUAGUAUAUGUGAGGUACCACCAAAAAUGUAUAUUAAUAAUUAACAUAUAAUUAAUUAACUUAGUUAUUUAAUUAAUGCUUAAACUAAUAAUAAUAAUUGUAAAUUUU